GCCCAAUUGAGUUCAAGGAGGUGUGGGUAAUUGAGAGGGCAGGGAUGGCAUCUGACAGGCUACGGUGGCUGCCUGUGAUUGCUUUAAUCAGAGUGGUUAAUGGAAUCCCUUCAGGCAUGUAGGAACGCUCCAAUGUUCAUCAGGACUCUGGUGAUUACCCCCAACGCCUCCUCUCCACACACACACACACACCACAGACACACACACAGACACACACACAUACCAACACACACACACACACACACACACACACACACACACUGAUUGGCCAACACAAAACACACACACACACACAGUACUUUAAUUACUGAUCUGUUUUCCCUUGUUUGUUUAAUUUAGUCCGUUUUAUAGAUCCUUCGAGACAGCCAUUUUUUUUCUACUUUUUACUAUUGUAACAUGUGUGUGUGUGUGUGUGCGUGAAUGUGCGUGUAUAGAUGUGUGCUUGGGUGUCUCUGCAUCGGUAUGCGUGUCUAUGUUGGUGUGGCGCAUUUGUAUGUGUGGCGACGUGAGUGUGUGUGUGUCUGUAUGUGUUUGCAGGUGUUUGCCUGUAUGUGCUGUUUGCGUGUUGCAUGUGCUUGUUUCUGUCUGUGUGUGUGUCUGUGUGUGUGUGCGUGUGUGCGUGUUUGCAUGUUUUGCCAGGUGUAUCUGUGUGCGUGUUUGUGUGCACGCACUCGUGUUUGUGCGCACGUGUGUAUGUGCACGAAUAGGCGGCCCCUGCUGUGAAGCGAGGGCAAACAGAUCGCCCGUGAAAUGUUUUCCCUGUCCGCGUGUCAGCGCCAUGAAAGGUUUUGUUCGCCGGGUGUCACAACAGCGCUGAGGGGGAGGAGCAUGGGCCCGUGUGACAGACGCACCGAACACACGGUCAGCUGCACUGGAAUCAAAAGCUCUCGGCUGGAUUCACCGGUGUCUCCAGCCUGCCCCAGUGACCCGCUGUGCAGAGCGACCAUUUUGUGCUCUUGGUUCGUCACUUUGAUCGAAAAGCCACCAACUGUGUGGUGAGCGGUGACGCAGAUGGUUAAAGCGCAGGUAGGGGUUAGACAGUGAAUACGGA
ensembl:lncRNA